UACAGAGGGUGCGAGCGUUGUUCGGAAUUACUGGGUUUAAAGGGUGCGUAGGUGGAUAAUUAAGUCAGUGGUGAAAUCUUCAGGCUUAACCUGGAAACUGCCAUUGAUACUAUUUAUCUUGAAUACUUUGGAGGUAAGCGGAAUAUGUCAUGUAGCGGUGAAAUGCUUAGAUAUGACAUAGAACACCAAUUGCGAAGGCAGCUUACUACACAGUAAUUGACACUGAGGCACGAAAGCGUGGGGAUCAAACAGG
rnacentral:rRNA from 1 species